CCUACGGGUGGCAGCAGUCGAGAAUCAUUCACAAUGGGGGAAACCCUGAUGGUGCGACGCCGCGUGGAGGAAUGAAGGUCUUCGGAUUGUAAACCCCUGUCAUGUGGGAGCAAAUUGAAAAGAUAGUACCACAAGAGGAAGAGACGGCUAACUCUGUGCGAGCAGCCGCGGUAAUACAGAGGUCUCAAGCGUUGUGCGGAAUCACUGAGCGUAAAGCGUGCGUAGGCUGUUUAGUAAGUCGUGUGUGAAAGGGGCGGGCUCAACCCGCGGAUGGCACAUGAAACUGGGAGACUAGAGUAAUGGAGGGGGAAGCGGAAUUCUCGGUGUAGCAGUGAAAUGCGUAGAUAUCGAGAGGAACACUGGUGGCGAAGGCGGGUUCCUGGACAUUAACUGACGCUGAGGCACGAAGGUCAGGGGAGCGAAAGGGAUUAGAUACCCUUGUAGUC
rnacentral:rRNA from 1 species